rnacentral:rRNA from 1 species
AUUGAACGCUGGCGGCAGGCCUAACACAUGCAAGUCGAACGAGUGGCGGACGGGUGAGUAAUGUCUGGGAAACUGCCUGAUGGAGGGGGAUAACUACUGGAAACGGUAGCUACAACCGCAUACCAUCAGAUGUGCCCAGAGGGGAUUAGGUAGGUGGUGGGGUAACGGCUCACCAAGGCGACGAUCCCUAGCUGGUUUGAGAGGAUGACCAGACACACUGGAACUGAGACACGGUCUAGACUCCUACGGGAGGCAGCAGUGGGGAAUAUUGCACAAUGGGCGCAAGCCUGAUGCAGCCAUGCCGCGUGUGUGAAGAAGGCCUUCGGGUUGUAAAGUACUUUCGGCGGGGAGGCGUUACCCUCAGAAGAAGCACCGGCUAACUCCGGGCCAGCAGCCGCGGUAAUUC